rnacentral:rRNA from 1 species
UACGUAGGGUGCAAGCGUUGUCCGGAAUUAUUGGGCGUAAAGAGCGCGUAGGCGGAAGGUGAAGCGUGGCCUGAAAGCCCCCGGCUCAACCGGGGAGGGCGGCUGCGAACUGGCCUUCUUGAGGGCGAUAGAGGGGGGCGGAAUUCCUGGUGUAGCGGUGAAAUGCGUAGAGAUCAGGAGGAACACCCGUGGCGAAGGCGGCCCCCUGGGUCGGCCCUGACGCUGAGGCGCGAAAGCGUGGGGAGCGAACGGG